UACGUAGGGUGCAAGCGUUGUCCGGAAUUAUUGGGCGUAAGGAGCUCGUAGGCGGUCUGUCACGUCGGACGUGAAAAUCCAGGGCUCAACCCUGGACCUGCGUUCGAUACGGGCAGACUAGAGUUCGGUAGGGGAGACUGGAAUUCCUGGUGUAGCGGUGAAAUGCGCAGAUAUCAGGAGGAACACCAGUGGCGAAGGCGACUACCUGGCCUGUUCUUGACGCUGAGGCGCGAAAGCUAGGGGAGCAAACGGG
rnacentral:rRNA from 1 species